AGCAGGGCUCCCCCACCUCGCGCGCCGGCAACAGGGGGCGGGGGGAGCGCUGCUCGGGGCUGCCUCUUAAAAGGGCGACGCCGGGGUCCGGAAGUGCCGCGCGGGGAGGCGGGCGUCGGUCGCGCGCCGCGAGCUCCGCCGGGACGCCCCGUUAGGAGAGAGUUAAAGGAGGCCGGUUCUUAAAAGGGCAACGGCGCCGCAGCCCCGCGCGGGCCGGCGCGGCGGGGAUGGGAGCCCCGGGAGCUUCUUUNGUCUGAUCCGAGCCAGGAGCUGUCAACUCUGGCGCCUCUGUCCUCCGCUCCCGACCGUCCGAAGUGACCGGGGCAGUAGCAGCAGCGGCUGCGGCCCGCAGGCCUAGUAUACCCCCCAAAGUGGGGGUGACGACGCGCGCGUGUCCUCGCGUGUGCUCGCCCCGCUCCACGUACCUUCCGAGCGGGUCUCGUGGACCCCUUCGCUCCCAGUGGGCCGGGCCCCCAUCCCGCACCGGCAGCAAAGGAGCCUGGAACCCUCCCUCACUCCGCUGACAGCCGGUCGCGCCCCCUCACCGCNCGGCCCCGCCCCGGCUGGCCUUCGGGGCUCUGCGGAAACCCUCCCGAUUCCCUUCCUUAUUCUCUUAGAGCCCGGGUCACGCUGCGCAGACCUUUCAGAGUUCCUGGGGCAGAGCCACGCGCUGAGCUGGGCUCUCCAGACUCGCCUUCCACCGUAGUCCUCAGGUGCGCAGCAGGUCCCUCAUCCUGCUUUUCGGGGCUUCCGACUUCCAGCUUUGGGUUUGAUUUGGACGCAAGGAACUGCCCUGAACUGGUGGCUCUCGGACCUCUCCCCUUCUCGGAUUCCCUCUGGGCCUCAGAGUCUGGGCUGUUGUUCCUCCUCUGCGCCUUCCCUUAUGAGGUGUGAGUCUGCCACUAGCAGUGGUCAACUGGAUGCGAUUUCCAGGAAUACCCUAGCCUGCCUUUGUACUUCUGAGAAAUUUUAAGGACAUCCAAAAUUUGGGAUGUUAAUUGCCUUUUGUGGGCUGAUGGGGAAAAGACAACUACUCCUUCCCCAUCCUGCUCCCAGGGUGGCCUGUUAAGUUAAAAUCUCUGAAUUGUCUCUGGAUGUUGUCCUCUCUUCUCUCCCCUGCUUUUUGGUCUUCCCGACAGAACUGAUCAGAUCAACUAUACCAAGGUGAAUUAUUUUGAAAGAUUCCAGGUAAGGCCAACCCAAAGCCUCCUUCCAUCCUCUUUCUUUGAGUGUACUCCAUAUUAAGUAAACUUCUUUCUUCUUGCUUGGUUCCCAGUGGGGUAGGUGAACAGCAUGUCACUCUUUUCCAUGCUAAGGAAUAAAUAUACUUAAAGCCCUUACUGAAUUCGUCUC
rnacentral:lncRNA from 1 species